rnacentral:rRNA from 1 species
GAUGAACGCUGGCGGCGUGCCUAAUACAUGCAAGUCGAGCGAACGGACGAGAAGCUUGCUUCUCUGAUGUUAGCGGCGGACGGGUGAGUAACACGUGGAUAACCUACCUAUAAGACUGGGAUAACUUCGGGAAACCGGAGCUAAUACCGGAUAAUAUUUUGAACCGCAUGGUUCAAAAGUGAAAGACGGUCUUGCUGUCACUUAUAGAUGGAUCCGCGCUGCAUUAGCUAGUUGGUAAGGUAACGGCUUACCAAGGCAACGAUGCAUAGCCGACCUGAGGGGGUGAUCGGCCACACUGGAACUGAGACACGGUCCAGACUCCUACGGGAGGCAGCAGUAGGGAAUCUUCCGCAAUGGGCGAAAGCCUGACGGAGCAACGCCGCGUGAGUGAUGAAGGUCUUCGGAUCGUAAAACUCUGUUAUUAGGGAAGAACAUAUGUGUAAGUAACUGUGCACAUCUUGACGGUACCUAAUCAGAAAGCCACGGCUAACUACGUGCCACCGGCCGCGGUAAUACGUAGGUGGCAAGCGUUAUCCGGAAUUAUUGGGCGUAAAGCGCGCGUAGGCGGUUUUUUAAGUCUGAUGUGAAAGCCCACGGCUCAACCGUGGAGGGUCAUUGGAAACUGGAAAACUUGAGUGCAGAAGAGGAAAGUGGAAUUCCAUGUGUAGCGGUGAAAUGCGCAGAGAUAUGGAGGAACACCAGUGGCGAAGGCGACUUUCUGGUCUGUAACUGACGCUGAUGUGCGAAAGCGUGGGGAUCAAACAGGAUUAGAUACCCUGGUAGUCCACGCCGUAAACGAUGAGUGCUAAGUGUUAGGGGGUUUCCGCCCCUUAGUGCUGCAGCUAACGCAUUAAGCACUCCGCCUGGGGAGUACGACCGCAAGGUUGAAACUCAAAGGAAUUGACGGGGACCCGCACAAGCGGUGGAGCAUGUGGUUUAAUUCGAAGCAACGCGAAGAACCUUACCAAAUCUUGACAUCCUUUGACAACUCUAGAGAUAGAGCCUUCCCCUUCGGGGGACAAAGUGACAGGUGGUGCAUGGUUGUCGUCAGCUCGUGUCGUGAGAUGUUGGGUUAAGUCCCGCAACGAGCGCAACCCUUAAGCUUAGUUGCCAUCAUUAAGUUGGGCACUCUAAGUUGACUGCCGGUGACAAACCGGAGGAAGGUGGGGAUGACGUCAAAUCAUCAUGCCCCUUAUGAUUUGGGCUACACACGUGCUACAAUGGGCAAUACAAAGGGCAGCGAAACCGCGAGGUCAAGCAAAUCCCAUAAAGUUGUUCUCAGUUCGGAUUGUAGUCUGCAACUCUGACUACAGAAAGCUGGAAUCGCUAGUAAUCGUAGAUCAGCAUGUUACGGGGAAUACGUUCCCGGGUCU